AACAGCUCAAAUUUGAAAUCUGGCCCCCGCGGGGCCCGAGUUGUAAUUUGUAGAGGGUGUUUCGGGCGCGAUGCCGGUCUAAGUUCCUUGGAACAGGACGUCGUAGAGGGUGAGAGUCCCGUAUGCGACCGGCGAUCAAGCCCGUGCGAAGCCCCUUCGACGAGUCGAGUUGUUUGGGAAUGCAGCUCCAAAUGGGUGGUAAAUUUCAUCUAAAGCUAAAUACCGGCCAGAGACCGAUAGCGGACAAGUAGAGUGAUCGAAAGAUGAAAAGCACUUUGGAAAGAGAGUCAAACAGUACGUGAAAUUGUUGAAAGGGAAGCGCUUGCGAUCAGACCGGCCCGGAGGCGAUCAGCCGCUGCUCGUCAGCGGUGCACUCGCCUCCGAUCCGGCCAGCAUCGGUUCGGGCGGCGGGACAAAAGUCCCGGGAAUGUAGCUUCUCUCGGGGAGUCUUAUAGCCCGGGGCGCCAUGCCGCCCGCCCGGACCGAGGACCGCGCUUCGGCUAGGAUGCUGGCGUAAUGGUCGCAAGCGAC
rnacentral:rRNA from 1 species